AUUGAACGCUGGCGGCAGGCCUAACACAUGCAAGUCGAGCGGAUGAAGGGAGCUUGCUCCUGGAUUCAGCGGCGGACGGGUGAGUAAUGCCUAGGAAUCUGCCUGGUAGUGGGGGAUAACGUCCGGAAACGGGCGCUAAUACCGCAUACGUCCUGAGGGAGAAAGUGGGGGAUCUUCGGACCUCACGCUAUCUGAUGAGCCUAGGUCGGAUUAGCUAGUUGGUGGGGUAAAGGCCUACCAAGGCGACGAUCCGUAACUGGUCUGAGAGGAUGAUCAGUCACACUGGAACUGAGACACGGUCCAGACUCCUACGGGAGGCAGCAGCGGGGAAUAUUGGACAAUGGGCGAAAGCCUGAUCCAGCCAUGCCGCGUGUGUGAAGAAGGUCUUCGGAUUGUAAAGCACUUUAAGUUGGGAGGAAGGGCAGUAAGUUAAUACCUUGCUGUUUUGACGUUACCAACAGAAUAAGCACCGGCUAACUUCGUG
rnacentral:rRNA from 1 species